rnacentral:tRNA from 1 species
AUUGUUUUGGCAGAAAAGUGUGUUAGAUUUAGAAUCUUUUUAUGUAGAAUAAGUUCUAUAAAC